GUGCGUAACGCGUAUACAACUUACCUUUAACAGGGGGAUAGCCCGAAGAAAUUCGGAUUAAUACCCCAUAACAUAUUUUAUAGCAUUAUAAGAUAUUGAAAACUCUGGUGGUUAGAGAUGGGUAUGCGUGACAUUAGCUAGUUGGUGAGGUAACGGCUCACCAAGGCGACGAUGUCUAGGGGUUCUAAAAGGAAGAUCCCCCACACUGGUACUGAGACACGGACCAGACUCCUACGGGAGGCAGCAGUGAGGAAUAUUGGGCAAUGGAGGCAACUCUGACCCAGCCAUGCCGCGUGCAGGAAGACGGCCCUAUGGGUUGUAAACUGCUUUUCUGUAAGAAUAAAUGUAUCUUCGUGAAGAUAUUUGAAGGUAUUACAGGAAUAAGCAUCGGCUAACUCCGUGCCAGCAGCCGCGGUAAUACGGAGGAUGCAAGCGUUAUCCGGAUUUAUUAGGUUUAAAGGGUCCGUAGGCGGUAUUAUAAGUCAGUGGUGAAAUCCUGCAGCUUAACUGUAGAACUGCCAUUGAUACUGUAGUACUUGAGUUUAGUUGAGGUAGGCGGAA
rnacentral:rRNA from 1 species